rnacentral:rRNA from 1 species
UACGGGGGGGGCAAGCGUUGUUCGGAAUUACUGGGCGUAAAGGGCGCGUAGGCGGUUCGCUAAGUUGGAUGUGAAAACUCUGGGCUCAACCCAGAGCCUGCAUCCAAAACUGGCGGGCUAGAGUUCUGGAGGGGGUAGCGGAAUUCCUGGUGUAGCGGUGAAAUGCGUAGAUAUCAGGAGGAACACCGGCGGCGAAGGCGGCUACCUGGACAGAAACUGACGCUGAGGCGCGAAAGCUAGGGGAGCAAACAGG